rnacentral:rRNA from 1 species
AUGAAUCAGACAUGCGCUUGCAGUCUUGACACCAUGCCUAAGGUCUCUGAUGAGGGAGGUGUUUCACAAGUAGUUAAUAAAGAAUUAUCACCGAAGGAAAUUAAUAAGCAGAGGCAGCAACUUCAGCAAGGUAAUACAUCAAAAUAUUCAGAGAUGCAUUUGCAACAGAAGCAAUUUCAGAAGAGUGUUGUUCCUUCCAUGGUUGCUCAGUAUGCAGACCAUGGUCCAAGCGGUGAGGCAAUGGUGUCAGCCGAAGUUAGUUUGCCUCCACCUACUGCAGUUAAUGAGGAUGUGCAAACUAAGCAGUGCAACAGCGCGAGAGGCAAUACAGUUCAACUGCUCACAUCCUCAGCCCAGCAGUCUGCUUCUUUGUCUGUCCCGGCUCAGCUGGGAGAUGCAAAUCAGUCUGGCCCAUUAACUCAGUCUCUUUUAGAUCUUCCAUACACACCUCAUGUUCAAGUAAACAUUCUUAAGCAAUGUUAUGGCCCAGAUUUGCAUCAGCAGAAUAUUCAACCUAGUCAGAUGCAUAAGGGACAGUCUACUUCUUUUGCUCAGUCCCCUUCUAUAAUCCCCUCGUCUUCAAUCCCAGAUGCCUUCCGCCAGAAUGCACCUACAAAUCCUAUUUCUCUCCCACAUUUGCCCAGUCUACCCACACACUCUACUGCUCACAUCAUUCAGACUUCUACUACUACUGCAAUUUCAGCUGCUAUGGAGGACAAAAUUCGUAGUGAGAAAGAGUAUUUUAUUCCUCUUUCUCCCCAUAAGUCUCCUCCAUCAGAUUCCCACCGCCUUUCGCUGGCCUCUCCUAGAUUCAGUCCCAAAAGGCCGUCAGAAUCGCUCUCUGGUUUGGCUCUCCCACCGCCAAAGCGGCUCGGGGUGCCUGGUGAUGGAGAAGGUGCUGAAGCGCAGAAGGGUUUCACGGCUGAUGUGGGUCCGAUCGGAGUCGUGUCUCGUCCCAAGAGGCAGACUCAUACUGGAUUGGGCAUUCUCGGAGCUCCGCCUGCCGAUGUUCUUGUCCACGGCCCAGCAGCUCAAGCUGGUACUUUGGGAGCUGCCACGGUUGCCCUUGCUACACCCAAAUAUACAGCAGAUAAGGGAGCCAGCUGUCGUUUUGGACUUAGCAAGUGGGACGUUCCUCCAUCUGGGAAGCGUACGGGUAUGCGUCCCCAUUUCAGUGGGAUUUCUCGCCAUCGUAUUAGUCAUUCCACUUGGCACCGUUCUGAUGGCACCUCUCAAAUGGGUUACAGUGCUACUAUGUGUGGAAGCAGCAGUAAGGUUAUGACAAGCAUGAAUCUCGGGACCUCUAUUAGUCGGAGCGGAAUGGUUGAACAACGGAGCAAUUAG